AUGAGUUUUUUCUACUGGAUUGGUGGAUGUGAGGCAAUAAAAAAUAAACAGGCUUGGAGAAGUGACUACUUCACUGGGGAGCCUGUUCCAGUGUGCGACCACCCUCUUGGUGAAGAACCUCUUCCUGAUGUCAAGCCUAAACUUCCCCUGCCUCAGCUUGACACUGUUCCCGUGGGUCCUAUCACUGGUGAUUACGGAGAAUCGGUAAGUGCCUGCCUCUCCACUCCCACUUGCGAGGAAGUUGCAGACUGUGAUGAGGUCCCCCCUCAGCCUCCUCUUCUCCAGACUGAACAAGCCCAGUGACCUCAGCCACUCCUCAUACGUCUUCUCCUCUAGGCUCUUCACCAUCUUCAUCGCCCUCUUCUGGACACUCUCCAACAGUUUAAUGUCUUUUUUGUACUGUGGUGCCCAGAAAUGCACACAAUACUCAGUCAUGACCAUCAAGAUAUGGUCAUUUUGAUGGUGAGGAUAGCCUUUUGGUGUAUCUGGCAUGAACUAUGUGAGGCACCCUGGUCAGCACAGCAGCAUGGCACUGCGCACUACAUCGUUUCACAAUUUUCUAUAUUUUUUCCAUUGAGUUGGGUAGCAAUGGAAAGUGCAUUUGGUCCUUCUGCUCCCACUAAAGUCUGUCAGUGAUUCUGGAAAAGGAGAGAGCCCAUUCCUCAUGUUACUGUCAUUUGUAUUAUCCUGGGACAGGAGUAAAAGAGCAAACACUGAAAAAUUGAACUGAAAGAAGGGAAUGUCUUGUGAAAAUAAAUUAUUUUUGUGUGAUUUUCUAGCCAGUACAUCAUUCUCUCUUGGAUAAGUUAAAAUUACAAUUUUUAAAUAGUAAUCUAAAAUUAAGCUAAUAUUAAGCUCAUACUUAAUCAGUCUUUGAAAAUUUAUUAACUAGUAUUACACUUAAAGAAAUGCUAAUGAAUUGCUACUUCCCAGCAUGUAUAUAUCUCCUAAGAACUACACAGACUGCUGUAAAACAAUUGUGUCAUCAGUUUGGCCAGCUGACAAGGCAUAUGGCAAACUCUUUUAUGAUGCCUGUUAUCUGUAAUGAUAGCUGUUUGUGUAGUAGUGCUCUUUACUAAGCAAGGGUAGAGCAGUAAUGCAGCAGUUUCUGCUAAGUGGAGAAAACUGCAAAAGAGACCAAAAAAAUAAAAAACACCAUUGAAGAUCAAUGUUUUAGAAAUUCAAGGAAAAAGAAAAGCAGUGCAGUCACACAGGGGAGUUUCUAUAGCAGCAGUAAUCUGAAACACUCAGGCACAUUGCCAAGAGCUCCAGUAGGUUGCUAAUCAAAACUUCCAAGCUUCCUGCCAGUCCAAGGUUCUGUCAGCAUCAGAAAGGAAAACUGUCAUAUAAUGAUGGGAUACUUAACUUGCAUAAAGAAAAUUUUAAAUUUUGGUGAGGACUAUUCUUACCCUGAAUGUUUUCACCCUAUAAAAAUAGACUUCCCAUUGGACUUUUAGCUGAAGUAAUCCAUUAAUACAUUUAACAUACGGGACACAUUCUGAUACACUUAGAGAGUAUAUUCCCUUUUAUUGGCUGCAAUUCAGUGUUCCAG
ensembl:lncRNA